UCACAGCAGGAUCUGAGGAGCAAAGAUAGUAAUAAAAGCCCAAAGCGAGCCCAUCACCAGGCAGCCCCGCCGAGCCCGAAGCGCGGGGCUCGCAGCUGGCUCCUGCGCGCAAGGCUGGGAUCACGGCAUAAACUAUUGUCUGCAAGUGGCUUAGGAGGCAGACUCGG